UACGGGGGGGGCAAGCGUUGUUCGGAAUUACUGGGCGUAAAGGGCUCGUAGGGGGCCAACUAAGUCAGACGUGAAAUCCCUCAGCUUAACUGGGGAACUGCGUCUGAUACUGGAUGGCUUGAGUUUGGGAGAGGGAUGCGGAAUUCCAGGUGUAGCGGUGAAAUGCGUAGAUAUCUGGAGGAACACCGGUGGCGAAGGCGGCAUCCUGGACCAACACUGACACUGAUGAGCGAAAGCCAGGGGAGCAAACGGG
rnacentral:rRNA from 1 species